UACAGAGGUCCCAAGCGUUGUUCGGAUUCAUUGGGCGUAAAGGGCGCGUAGGCGGUGCGGUAAGUCACCUGUGAAACCUCUAGGCUCAACCUAGAGCCUGCAGGCGAAACUGCCGUGCUUGAGGGUGGGAGAGGUGCGUGGAAUUCCUGGUGUAGCGGUGAAAUGCGUAGAUAUCAGGAGGAACACCUGUGGCGAAAGCGGCGCACUGGACCACAACUGACGCUGAGGCGCGAAAGCUAGGGGAGCAAACAGG
rnacentral:rRNA from 1 species